AUUGAACGCUGGCGGCAGGCCUAACACAUGCAAGUCGAACGGUAACAGGAAGAAGCUUGCUUCUUUGCUGACGAGUGGCGGACGGGUGAGUAAUGUCUGGGAAACUGCCGGAUGGAGGGGGAUAACUACUGGAAACGGUAGCUAAUACCGCAUAACGUCGCAAGACCAAAGAGGGGGACCUUCGGGCCUCUUGCCAUCGGAUGUGCCCAGAUGGGAUUAGCUAGUAGGUGGGGUAACGGCUCACCUAGGCGACGAUCCCUAGCUGGUCUGAGAGGAUGACCAGCCACACUGGAACUGAGACACGGUCCAGACUCCUACGGGAGGCAGCAGUGGGGAAUAUUGCACAAUGGGCGCAAGCCUGAUGCAGCCAUGCCGCGUGUAUGAAGAAGGCCUUCGGGUUGUAAAGUACUUUCAGCGGGGAGGAAGGGAGUAAAGUUAAUACCUUUGCUCAUUGACGUUACCCGCAGAAGAAGCACCGGCUAACUCCGUG
rnacentral:rRNA from 1 species